rnacentral:other from 1 species
GCCUCAGGAAGAGGCAGGUGCAUUAGGAUGAUGUAUCUACAAGGACUGUGAAGGGAUCAUCGAAUGGAUUCGAUACAGUAAGUAGGAUGCUUACUGGUCAGGAUGACAAAAGGACCACUUCAGGAAGAAGUUAGGACACCUCCAGGAUGGAGACGAGAGUUGUAACAGGAUGUUGCAACGGGUCAAGAAAGACCAAAUGGAACACCUCCAGGAUGGAGUUUUAGGGAACGCUGAAGGAAACAGCAGUAUCAUGGAAUGAUGCAGGGAGCACUAACGUAGCGGGAUUGCUGCAAGUAAGACCUAAGGGCGCAACGAAAGUUGCGCCCGCUCUUUUUUCU